CAGUGGCUUUGUGUAAGAGCAACUGUAUGUAUGACAUUUCUGUACUGUACUGUAUGUAAAGCUGGUUCAUGGCAAUGUUUAUGAAACCUUCAUUAUUGUACAUUGCAUUCACAAAGAAUAUAAUGUUCCAUUAGACUAGGACUUUAGUUGCAGUCAUAGAUAUCCCACCAAGCUGCCUCCCUGAUAGAGACUGCACACUCUUUUAUCUUGUAUAAAGUACACAUAAAUUAUUUAGGUUAAUCAGAUGCCAAAACUUUAUUUCAAUAGUCGAAUACACAGGAAUGUAAUCCCAGUACCGAGUCAAAGCAAUUUGGAAAGGGUCAUAAAAUAUUGUUAGCAUUUCUUUCAGCUAAGUGGUAGUGUAUGGAAAUGAUCUGACUGAUUUUAUAAAUGGCGUGUUGCAUGGCUAAAUGUACCAACACUGUAAACAGUCAUAAUUCAAUAUUGAAAGGAUAUUUAAAAUGUAAUGUGCCUGCUAGUUAAUAAGCCAAGGGGUAGACCUUUUAUGGGGGUAUUACUUUGAAGUGAAAUUUGGAGACUACUUUCAAAGAACGUCCUUGAUGACACAACUGCUAAGUUUCAGCUACAAAGCCUUGGUAAAUAUUUUCAUAUAGCUUACAUAUAUACCAGGUUUAAUGGGAAACACAUGGCAAGUCAUUUACUUACCCCGAAAGAGUGCUGUCUCCAAGAUGGGGAAGCAGCCUAUUUGAUAUUGUGUGCAGUAGUGACUAUGGGGGUCAUUUAUUAAGCGUUUUAGAUGCCGGUCUUAAUAACCCCAUUGACUGGCUGUGGAUCCGCGGCCUCUACAUAACUUUGGCGCAUCCACCACCGGUCUAAAUCUAUGUCAGAUUCCUUGCUGGCUAAAAUUUAGACGAACAGGCUUACAAAAUGAUAAAUCAGACAAGCCUGUCGGCCCUUCCCCUCCCACCCCCUUUUUAUAGACCUGGUGGGAGCAGGGAAAAAUCGCAGAUUGCAGCACAAAUAACCUUUGCACCACAAUCUGCGCCAGAAAUAUGCCAAGAAUAGGCAAAUUACUAAAUGAUCCCCUAUAUGUCUAUAUACUGACUAUAUAUCUAUAAGCCUUUAAAACAAAAUGGCUGUAAGAGAACUUCGGGGAGAUUUAUGAAAAUAGCAACCAAUCACAGGUAGCUUGCAUUUCUCAAGCAGAAUACGAAACGAAAGCUGGUUGAUAAGGGUAAGAACCUUUUAGAGAGGUUCAUAAAUCUGCCCCAUAUCUUUGUAUUGGUUGGAAAAUCAUCACCAUGUUUGUAUUCAGUCCUCUUCUUCACAUUUAAAUUACAUAGACACUCCUAAGCAACUUCUUGCCCCUUUUCUCCAUGUGCUGAAUUAAAGAAAUCCUGUCUCACAGCCCAGAUCAUAUAUGUGUCAUAUUCCACAAUAACAUUAUAUACAAUAUAUGUGCCUAUUAGAGAUGAGCGAAUUAUUGGAAAAUUUGAUUUGGCUGCUUCGCCGAAUAAAAAAUUUAAAAAAAGUUUCCUGAUGAAUUACGGUACUUUGUCACGAAGUGCAUUUCUUUGUAAGUAGUGUGUUCAAUGACAGGGUGCGGCGAUUGUGCCACUCCUCGUCAUUGUCCCCCUAAGAUGCCACGUUCAUACAUGAUCGCGGCAUCUGAUAUAAAUUACAGAGUGUAAAAUAAAAAAUAAAUAAAAAUAAUUACAGAGUAUAAGAUUU